rnacentral:rRNA from 1 species
UACAGAGGGGGCGAGCGUUGUUCGGAAUUACUGGGCGUAAAGGGCGCGUAGGCGGCCUAUUAAGUCAUACGUGAAAUCCCUCGGCUCAACCGGGGAACUGCGUGUGAUACUGAUUGGCUUGAAUUCGGGAGAGGGAUGCGGAAUUCCAGGUGUAGCGGUGAAAUGCGUAGAUAUCUGGAGGAACACCGGUGGCGAAGGCGACAUCCUGGACCGAUAUUGACGCUGAUGCGCGAAAGCCAGGGGAGCAACGGG